ACACUUUAUCUUUCCCCUUAAGCCAACUAGAAAAGGGUUUUGGGAUACUUAGGGUUAAGUGCCUUUGGGUUUGAAUAGUACUGGGUUGGGUGACCUCCCAGGAAAUUCAAAUUUAAAGAGUU
rnacentral:rRNA from 1 species